CCCAAGCAGUAUUCACCUCCCAUGGGUUUUGUGUCGCCUUAAUCACUGAUCUCCUAAGUCAAGAGAAUCUUGCCCCCAACUCACAUACACCUUCCGAUUACUACUACCACUGCACAAACAUGAGUAAUAUAUGGUGGUGCUUAAACACAUCCAAUUCAUACGUCAAGCCUGCAGUCCGCAUUAUGAAUUAACCAAAUUAAGAUAAAAUACUUCAUUCAUACUAGUUAUGGAGUUAAAAUAAAAAUAAUAAACAAAAAGAGAAAGGGCUUGGCUUCGACCAACGAAGAUUAUAAAAUAGGAUUUCUUCCUGAUGAUCUUCCAGAA
rnacentral:lncRNA from 1 species